UGUUUCUCUCCCAUCCUGUAUGUUUCCCUUUCUUUAUCAGAUCAAUCUCCCAUCUCCCAAUGUAUUGCCCUCACCAGAGACGGAAGCUCACGAACUAGAAAAGUAAAUCAGAGAUGAUGCAAUUUGCAGAGUUUGUAGAAUAGCAUCAGUGAAGCUGUAGAAGAGAAGCAGAAGAUAAACCCUAAUCUCAAGGCAACCAAUUGUCUCCACAGAACCAGGUACUUCAUCCAUGAUGAUCUAAAUCUACUUCUGCAAUUCACAUGAAUUUGAUGAUGAUGAUUCAAUCUCCCUUUCUUAAAACACAUCCUCACCCUUCAAUUUAAUUCUUCUCCUCAACCUCUGCCUGCUACCCAAAUCUGUCAUCAAAGAAAUUAUAUAUACUUUAUAGUUGUGUAUAAAUUAUAUGCAUAUAUUUAUAUAUACGUAUAUGACCCAAAAUUAGUCAGAAAAAAAAAAAAAAAAAAAAAAAAAAAAACGAUGAGAAAGGACAUAACAUGGUUAAAGGGAGGAUUUUUAUUUAUUUAUUUUCGUUUAUGCAUUAUAAUGAAUUCAUGUUCCUUCCUUGAAGGUUAGAAAUUUACCCUUGUUUUGAUCUGAAAAUUUUACCCUUGUUUUGUUUCUCUCACAUCAUGCUCGGAUCUCCAUGUUACAUUAUUGCCUCCAUUCACAAAUCCAAACUCUAGGAAGCAACCCAUUGAUUUCAGACAGUGUUCUUGUUUUAGCAAGGAUUGAUUGGCAUUUUUCGAAGUAGGUAUGUUCAAACAUUAUAUUUUUCAAUGCAAAUUAUUUUUUCUGCUUUCAAAAAGCUUAAAUCAAGUAUGGUUAUUGUUGAAUUUUUGUUCAAAAUGAGUUUAAUUCAAGCUUAAUUAUGUUUAAAAAAAAAUUACGUAUUCAGUGACUAAUGCAGGAGAUGGAUUACAUAGGCUUAAGCAGUGAGCCAUCGAAUAGUUGUGAAGUUGAUAUGGAAGAUGAUUGUCCUUCUCCUCCUAAUGAGUGUUCCUCAAAAAAAGAAAUUCAAUAAAAAAAGGAUGAACCAGAACUUGGAAUGGAGUUUAGUUCAGAUGAGGACGCAUACCAGUUCUACCUCAACUAUGGUAGUAAACUUGGUUUUGAUGUAAGGAGAAAUCAUCACAGGAAAAAUAAAAAUGGGAUUAUUACUAGGGUUACCUUUUGUUGCUCAAAGAAGGUAAAAGAAGAGAGAAUAGAAGAAAAAAUCCUUCCUACCAUCAACCCAUAACUAGAGUUGGUUGUUAGGCUCAAAUGACUUGUCUACUUCAAAAUAAUGGAAAAUUCAAGGUUGUGUCAUUAAACAAAAGUCAUAAUCAUGACUUGGUUAGAACCCCCAUGAAACAUAUGUUGAGAGUUAAUCGAAGUAUUUCUAAGGCUCAAAAAGCACAUACUGAAGAUGCAGACAGGUCGGGAUUACCAAUAAAAUCAUCUAUAGAGUUGAUGAGCAGAGAAGUUGGGGGGAGAGAGAAUCUUAGUUUUCUAGAUAAGAAUUACCGAAAUUACAUAUAUAGAAAGCGAAAUAUGGCAAUGGAAAAAGGUGAUGCUGGAGCUAUAUUAGAGUAUUUUCAUAAUAUGCAGCUGAGGAAUCCAUCAUAUAUUUACUCACUACAACUUGAUGUGGAUGAUAUGAUUACUAAUAUUUUUUGGGCGGAUUCACGCUCAAUUAGUGAUUAUGGACUUUUUGGAGAUGUUCUGUGUUUUGACACUACUUAUCGGACAAAUGAAUAUGGUCGACCUUUUGCACCAUUUAUUGGGGUGAAUCAUCAUAAGCAAACAGUCUUAUUUGGUGCAAUUUUACUUUAUGAUGAAACCACUGCAUCAUUUAAGUGGUUGUUUGAGACUUUUCUUGGUGCAAUGUCUAGAAAACAACCUAAAACGAUUCUCAAUCUGCUGCAAUGGCUAAAGCAAUAUCAAAAGUAUUUUUUGAAUCUCAACAUAGGCUAUGUGUUUGGCAUAUUUAUCAAAAUGCCGCGAAGAAUUUGAGCCAUAUAUUUCAUGCAUCAAGCCAAUUGCUCAUGAUUUUGGCAAGUGUGUGUAUGAUUAUGAAGAUGAAGAUGAAUGGCUAUUGGCAUGGGAAAGUAUGUUGGAUAAAUAUAGUUUCAAAGAGAAUAAAUGGUUGAAAGAGUUAUUUGAAGUAAGAGAAAAAUGGGCAAUGGUUUAUGGACGACACACUUUCACUGCUAACAUGAAAACUACUCAACGUAGUGAGAGCAUGAAUAGUGUGUUGAAGAAUUACUUAAAGCCAAAGCUUAAUCUUUUACUUUUCUUGGAGCAUUAUGAGAGGGUUUUGAAUGAUCGGCGAUAUGAAGAGCUAUUUGCAGAUUUCAAGAUGAUGCAAAGCAUGCCUGAUUUGUUAACUAAUGUGGAGACUUUAUGUCAUGGUGCAUAAAUUUAUACUCCAAAAAUUUUCAAAUUGUUUCAGGAAGAGUACAUGAGGUUGGGUGAUUACAAUAUAUACAAAGUGGCUAAGGAAGGGUCAAAAGUUGAAUACAAAGUAUCUUGUGUUAGAAAAUCUCGAGAACAUGUGGUUAAAUUUGAUGUUCCAACACAAACAAUCACUUGUAGUUGUAUGAAGUUCACUUUUAUUGGAAUUUUAUGUGUUCAUGCAUUGAAAGUGUUGGAUAAGAAAAAUAUAAAAAGGAUUCCAUCUCAAUAUAUCAUGAAACGAUGGACAAGAGAUGCAAAAGUAAGGACUAUCACCAACUAUCAUGGAAUUGCUGCCAGUGACAGUCCUAUGGUGUCUGUGGGAAAGCGUUAUAGCCAUUUGUGUCGAAUUUUUCAUGAAAUUUCAUCUUUAGCCUCAGAACACGAGAAAUUAUAUACAUAUGCAAAUGAGCAUACUCUUGUGUUGCUUAAUGGCUUAGAGGAGAUGAAGAAAGAAAUUUUCUUAAGCGGUGCUGAAAGUUCAGUUUGUCAAAAUGAGGAAGGUGAAAUGGUAGCUCCAUGAAAUGAUUGUAUGCCGAUAGGGGUUAAAAGAAAAGCCACAGUUGGAUGCCCACGUAGUCGACUAUUAAGUGCCCUUGAACGACGAAAAAAAAAAUCGUCUCCCAAAGCCACCAAAGUUUCAACAAGACAACAAAAUGCCACACAAGUUUGCUUUGAAACUUUGUAAAUUAAUUAAAUGUGUUAUUUUUAUUGUACUUAUUUUCUUUUAUUUUCACUACAUUAUUUAGGAGCCGGUUUCCCGUGUUUAUAAUUUACAAGAGCAACAAGCUGGAGCUGGACAUGGAGUUGUUCAGCAAACAUUUGAUAAUUUGACUCAAGAGCCGAUUUCCAGUGCUUAUAAUUUACAAGAGCAACAAGCUAGAGCUGGACAUGGAGUUGUUCAGCAAACAUUUGAUAAUUUGACUCAAGAGCCGAUUUCCAGUGCUUAUAAUUUACAAUAGCAACAAGCUGGAGCUGGACAUGGAGUUGUUCAGCAAACAUUUGAUAAUUUGACUCAAGCCCCGAUUUCCAGUGCUUAUAAUUUACAAGAGCAACAAGCUGGAGCUGGACAUGGAGUUGUUCAGCAAACAUUUGAUAAUUUGACUCCAUUUGUGUUCACAGAACUUGUAUCAUAUUGGCCAUGGAAUGCCCUCAGGGAUGCAGUCAGUGAUGAACUUUAAUGAAAAUUGGCUAUCCAAUAUGACUUGCACACAAUUACUUCAGGAAUCUAUAAAAACAUUAUGGUAGCCUUCCACAAAGCACAGAAGAAAGCAACAACUUAUGUCAAGAUAACUUGUCGGGAUAGGAUUUGCUGAAGUGUUGGUGACAUUAUGAAGAUACCUUAUUUAAAUCAAAUAGACAUUUUUGCUCUUUUGCUAUAUUGAUUUGCUACAAUUUUAAAGGCUCAA